CCCCCCCCCCCACCUACCAAUCUAACUACCGUUCCCCCCCCCCACCUACCAAUCUAACUACCGUUCCCCCCCCCCACCUACCAAUCUAACUACCGUUUACUACCGUAUUAAACAUCCUGCCAUUUGACAGGUUGAUUAAAGUCAGACAGGUUUAUAACCUUUUGCCAUAUUAUCUUUCUCUCAACACUCUGUUCUAUUUUACUAUUUUCUGAAUACAUACUCAAUACUCUAAACAAGUGUGUGCUUUGACAUUUAGGAAAAGUGUGGAUGUUGUGAACGCGUCUGCAUAUUUAUUCUGUUUUCGGGCUACAGGAACCCUGUGCUUGAGUCCCAUCUGUUGAUAUAGUGUACCACACAUCCCUUUCAUAUACAGACAAAUCCCCCUAUUUUAACAGCUUUUUAUACCAGCUCUUUUGUAUAUCUGAAAGGGGUAGUGGGUAAAAAAAAACAAGGAGAAAUAAAACCCACCUAAAGACCUAGUUGCGAUUCCUGCAUUUUCACAGACCCUGUAACCAACAUGCAGGUAUCAGGUCUGUGCGAAUGCUUCUCUGCUUUUUUUGUAGGUAAAUUCAUUAACACUUCCAUUGUUUAACACCUCCCUAACUUGAAAAGCAACCAGCCCCCAUGGUUUAACAACUCCCCACCCCUCCCAGUUUGCCAGUUACCCACUGAUCUGUAUUAAAGGGGUGUACCUGCAGGAAAGUGGUCAAUAAGGGGCUCAUAUAAACAUUACCUUUUCUUUUUUACAGGCAAUAUACCACGUCUUCUGUCUGAAAUGGAUAGAAUAGAUGGAAUAGUUGUUUCUCUAUAGAGUUCACUAUGGACAGCUGUCAACUCUGGGCCAACCCCUCUCAUACACACCUGAGCCCCGGUUCACUAUGUAUGGUUAGACUCAGGUGUAACAUCCAACGAGCAGUAAUUCUAACCAGGCAACUAAAAAUUAAGACACGUUUUAAAGACAUUACACAGGAUACAGUUAUUAUACUAUAUACAUAUUACAUCUCACCCUUACUUACUCCUCAUCAUAUAGGAUCUUACUACUGGUGUCCCCCAGGACUAUGUACUAGGUCCUCUAAUAUCUCACUACUGGUGUCCCCCAGGGCUCAGUACUAGGUCCUCUUUAAUGUCUCAUUACUGGUGUCCCCCAGGGCUCAGUACUAGGUCCUCUUUAAUGUCUCAUUACUGGUGUCCCCCAGGGCUCAGUACUAGGUCCUCUUUAAUGUCUCAUUACUGGUGUCCCCCAGGGCUCAGUACUAGGUCCUUUUUAAUCGAUCCUACAUCAAUCUGAUGCCAAACCAGUCUAUCCUGCUUUAACUGCAGAACAUAAACAUUUUGCCCAAAGCUGUCUGAUAAUAUUGAACUUUACUAUUUUUGACAUAACUUUUCUAUGUUUCUUAUUCCUUCGUUUUAUUAUAAAAACCGCUUCAUUUGUUUCCUGAGCCUGUUUCUUUUUCCUAUCUAUUUGUUGCCUGUUGUGUCCUGAGUGAAUGGUUGAAUGGCAAAUUUUUAUACCUUACAGCCAACCAACCCAAGGCCUGCAUGUUUCUCUCUAUGCUCCAUCCAGGUCUAGGAUUGGUCAAUUACGGAAACUUCGCCAGGAUUCCAGAUUUCCUGCUGAUUUCUUCCAACUGGGAUUUCUGGGAAAAACCUGGGAAUUUUGGGAAGGUUACCGGAAAUGUCUUACAGUCUCCUCUUUUGCCGACAGGGUUCAAAGUGUUUUAGAGGGUGCGUCCGAAAUGGCCCCCUAUUUCCUAUAUUAGUGCACUACUUUAGACCAGGGCUCUGGUCAAAAUAAGGGCACUAUAUAGGGAAUGUGUGCAGAGUGUACAGUCAGUGUGUGGGUCAUCAGUGGAUGUCGGAGGCCUAUUCUCUACGACACUGGCAACCCAAAGGCUUUUAUUUUGUUUUCAAAAAACACAAGGUGUCAAAGUGUUUCCUGUUCGUGGUGGUAGAUAUCUAUUUAGCACAUUUUUACAAAAACAAAUACAAAAAAUAUUAUUGGUAUUAUUAGUUGUAUUUAUUAUUAUUAUUAUUAUUAUUAUUAUUAUUAUUAUUAUUAUUGUAAUAUAUCUGUGGCACAGCACUGACGAUGACAACAUGGUGUGUAGUGCUACUGAUUGAGAUUGUAUGAUACUUAGGUUUAAACCAUUUAUAAAAUGUGUGAUUGAUACUCCUGAGUAUUUUUUAACAAAAACUAAUAUAAGGGUCUGUUUACAUGUUAUAUGAUCCCUUUUUAUGCUUCAGGUUUCAUCUGCUUCAAACACUUUACAUUCUGUAAAAAGGUUUCAUCUGCUUCAAACACUUUACAUUCUGUAAAAAAGGUUAUCUGCUUCAAACACUUUACAUUCUGUAAAAAAGGUUUCAUCUGCUUCAAACACUUUACAUUCUGUAAAAAAGGUUUCAUCUGCUUCAAACACUUUACAUUCUGUAAAAUGGUUUCAUCUGCUUCAAACACUACAUUCUGUAAAAAGGUUCAUCUGCUUCAAACACUACAUUCUGUAAAAAAUCUUUCAUCUGCUUCAAACACUACAUUCUGUAAAAAAUCUUUCAUCUGCUUCAAACACUUUACAUUCUGUAAAAAGGUUUCAUCUGCUUCAAACACUUUACAUUCUGUAAAGAAUCAAAUUAAAAUGGUUUUGUUUAGGCUUGCAAAAUUCAAAUAACUUUUUUCAUAAUUCUCACGUUUUCCAGAAGUACCGUUGUAAAAUGUACAAAAGUAGGAGGGAAUAAGCAGCAAAUACAGACUUCACAAGGAUUUCAGGAAAAUCUGGGAAUUUUUGGAAAGUUACCAGAAUUUUGCAACCCUGUCUUUUGUUGUUGUCGUUGUUCUUGGUACUUUACAGUAGUAGCCUAGUGGUUCCUCAUUAGGUAUCAUGCAUCUUUCCUAGCCUGCGUACCAGUCUGUUUGUGCCAUCCUGCCACUCUUUGAUACCCAAGCUACACAAUUCCUUGAACUGUCCUAGAACAG